rnacentral:rRNA from 1 species
AAUGAACGCUGGCGGCGUGCUUUACACAUGCAAGUCACGGGGGCCCGCAAGGGUAACCGGCGAACGGGUGCGUAACACGUGAGCGACCUGCCUUUCCGCGGGGGAUAGCCGGCCCAACGGCCGGGUAAUACCGCAUACGCUGCUUUGGGGGCAUCCCUGAAGUAGGAAACCUCCGGGGCGGAGAGAGGGGCUCGCGACCUAUCAGCUAGUUGGCGGGGUAACGGCUCACCAAGGCGACGACGGGUAGCNGGUCUGAGAGGAUGGCCAGCCACAUUGGGACUGAGAUACGGCCCAGACUCCUACGGGAGGCAGCAGUGGGGAAUAUUGCGCAAUGGCCGCAAGGCUGACGCAGCGACGCCGCGUGUGGGAGGACGCCCCUCGGGUGUAACCACUGUUGCCCGGGACGAACAUCCGCAAUCGUGCGGACUGACGGUACCGGGUGAGGAAGCACCGGCUAACUCCGUGCCAGCCGCCGCCGUAAG